UAGGGAAUCUUCGGCAAUGGGGGGAACCCUGACCGAGCAACGCCGCGUGAGUGAAGAAGGUUUUCGGAUCGUAAAGCUCUGUUGUUAAGGAAGAACGAGUGUGAGAAUGGAAAGUUCAUGCUGUGACGGUACUUAACCAGAAAGGGACGGCUAACUACGUGCCAGCAGCCGCGGUAAUACGUAGGUCCCGAGCGUUGUCCGGAUUUAUUGGGCGUAAAGCGAGCGCAGGCGGUCAAUUAAGUCUGAUGUGAAAGCCCCCGGCUCAACCGGGGAGGGUCAUUGGAAACUGGUUGACUUGAGUGCAGAAGAGGAGAGUGGAAUUCCAUGUGUAGCGGUGAAAUGCGUAGAUAUAUGGAGGAACACCAGUGGCGAAGGCGACUCUCUGGUCUGUAACUGACGCUGAGGCUCGAAAGCGUGGGUAGCGAACAGG
rnacentral:rRNA from 1 species